CAUCCAAACCCUAAUAUUCCUGCUAAAAUAGCCUGCAGUUCUCAUCAAUUACACUGGAACUACACACAAUGAAAGCGUCUUCAUGGAUUUCCAUGUGAUGAUUCGGUCCUCUUCAUCAAAUAGGAAUGCUGUUUAAGAGAACCAUAUUCUACGAAUGCUUCCUCUUUGACAAAACCCUUGGGCCUUUACUCUGUGCUUUCAUAAGAGGAAAAUUGCAAUUACAAAGUUUUGAACAUAGUUACCUAUGAGUGGGGAUAUGAGAACAAUAGCAGGAGAAAAUGGAGAUCAUCAUUCUACGCAGCACCAGCUUAAGUCAGCUGAGUAGAAAAUAACAGGUUUCAACACAAACAUCUGUACAGACCUCACUCUGGAGAAAUUACUUUGCGUGGAACCCAGGAAAUUAGUUGGAAGAAUUUGUUCACUGUCUCUUUCAAGUUUUAACAGCUUUACUUAAGAACUCAACUAGCAGAUGAUUUCUUUCCAUUGCUUUCUAAAUCAAUCACAAAUGUCUCUUUGAGAAAAGACCAAUGAAAAUUAAGUAGUAGUAAGAAGAGACACACCAGUGAUUGCAAAGUGGAGAGGCUGGCUUCCCUCUGUUAUGGACUGGAUUCUGUACCCCCAAAUUCAUAGGUAAACCCUAACUCUCAAUGUGAUGGUAUUUGGAGAUAGGGCCUUGAAGGAGAUAAUUGAGGUGAAAGGAAAUCAUAAAGGUGGAGCCCUGAGCCAAUAUGACUAGUGUGCUCAUGAGAAGAGGAAGAGACACCAGGGAUGCGCACACCCAGAGAAAAGGCCAUGGGAGGACACAGCAAAAAGGUGGCCAUCUGCAAGCCAAGGAGAGAGGCCUCAGGAGAAAUCAAACCUGCCGACCCCUUGAUCUUGGACUUCCAGCCACCAGAACUGUGAGAAAAUAAAUGUCUGUAGUUUAAAACCACACGAUCUGUGCUAUUUUGUUAUGACAGCCCUAGCAGACUAAUAUAGCCUCCAAGUUAAGAGCCAAACUUCCUGUGAGUGCCCUGUCAUUGACCAAGUGGCUUCUAGAACCACUUCAGCCCAUGACUCCUCCACCAGACAUUGUCAGUGCGAAGAGAGUUUUAGGGCCACAGCCAUGAAGAGCUUGAAUGAAACCAGCAGAGCGUUGCAGGGCAGCCUCUGUUUGACCUUCCACUCGGGAAGGAUUAAUGGCCAGCCCUUUGUGUUAGGAGAGGAUGCUCUGGCCACAUGCAGCCAGACAUGGGGGAGUGUUGUUUCCCAGUUCCAGUGAUAGGUUGGCCUACGCUGGUCUCAUGCUCACACUUGGUUCUCCUAGGUCACAAGUUAGCAGGAAGUAAGCAGGGGGUCAGGGUAGGGCUAUUAUUGUUGGCUGAAGCAUAGACUAGAGCAAUUGAUCUGUACAGUAUUGGACCCACAUCUAACUCUGGGGCCCCAGUUGUCUUGGCUUUUUCCAGCUUUGAUUUCACUGCCUCUCUGAGAGUCAGUUUUUCCUACUAAUGGAAUGUUUUCAAAGUGAGCUCAAGCCCAUGCUCAGUGGGAAAUUCUUCCCUGAAAUCAUUUGUCACAGAAUCAUUUGGCCAUCUAAGACGUUUAUUAUCCUACUUACUGGCAGUAAGUUUCAUAGAAGAGCACAAGAUACUCUGUAGAUUUUUGUUCCCCUUAAAAAGCUGAUAUUCUAGAAUCUGUCCAACAU
rnacentral:lncRNA from 10 species